ensembl:lincRNA
UCAACUUAUAGGAAAGGCAUGAUAAAGAGAUUAUCUCAUGUUUGAAUACCCUUUUCUUUAAUUUUUGGAUUAGCUCUCUUCCCCCACCAACUCGCAAUCUUUCUGUUCUAACCACAGGCACUUUUGGCAGCCAUGAAUUCUUAUUCUGGGCAACAGGAGUGGCUCCACAGAUGAUGAGUCUAUGGCCUGUUAUACAUGGAGCUCUUGCAAGCAAGUCCUGGUGACCACAAGGUGUCUUUGUCCAUUAUUGAGCAUCAUAAAUAUCCAGACGCACAGAUGCUUCCUGAUAUGUCCAUGAGUUUAAAGAUUGGACAUUACUUCGCCCAGCAAUCCUCGUUUUCAAACUUGCCAAGUAAGGUUUUAUCAUCUCCCACCAACAGACACAAGGUCAUGCUUAGGCCUUGGUGGCAUAGAGGGAGGGUCUCUGAAAGUCACUCAAAUAUACACUCUGAGUAGUUUCAAGGUGUAUUCACUUUUCUCUGUCCCUUGUAGGCCAGUCCUUGGAGAGACUAGGAAAUCCAGAGUUUCCUACAAGAAUGGGGAUUCCUUGGAAGAGAGUUUCACCUUGAAUCAAGAAAGAGGAAUCACAUACUUUCAAAGGAAAUUUCUCAUGAUCUCAAGAUCUCAAGAACCAGGGGCAGAAGGAAAAGCUGGGCUGACACAAUGGUGGUGGUCCUGUCUCCAUUCAAAAAGCUACCACUGCCUCUAGACCCUCUCAGGAUGGCAACAUUUCCUGAUUCCAAUCCUAAAAUAGGCAAAGUUGGGAGGGUGCAAACUUCUCCAUUCUGUGUCAGACAUGUCUUAGGGAAAACCCAAAUAUGAAUGACCAAAGAAAAGUAUGAGAAAAAAUUGAAAAUCUAUUCUAGGCUAUUCACAGUGUUUUGCUGGUAUCCUGGGAUCCACAUGCAUUUCAAGAAGACUGAAGUGUGCCAGGCCUGCAGGACAAUGAAGAGUGAAUGUCUUAGUCCUAGACUAUGGCCUGUCCAUUCAGGUUCAUGAUACAGAAUUGUCUUUAAAAGAUGACUUGCCAGAGUCAGACAUCAAUGAAGAGUACUACAUGCAGAAUAUAGGCGAGCAAUUAUGGACUCUGAUGGAACAUGGUCAGUUGGCCUGCUGGAGAGAGUCACAUAUACCAGUGACAUGCUGCUCAAACUGGCGCAGACCACAUGCUACUACCAAAGGAAUACGCACAUUUGCUCCUUCUGAGUGAAAGGAGAAUGUGAGGGAGAAGAGGAGGGUCCAUACAGACAUGAGAAGCCUACAGAUCCAGAUGAUCACCUUGCUGAUAAGAAUAUUAAAGACUGAAUCCAAUAUUAUGGAAUCAAUGACCCCGGAGCAGAUAAGCCUCUAAAGCAGGCUUCACCAUACCUUGUCUGGAUCCACCAGAGGACAAGGUUAUCACCACACUCUAUGUUGGUGAUCUCGGUGAUGCCAUUACUGAGACAGAUCUAAAUAAUCAUUUCUAAUUAUUUGACGAUCUGAAUGAUCACUGUUGUGCAGACAGUAGAGUGCUUUCCAUCCAGGUUUCCACAGGGCAGGCUGCAGAAGUGGCUGCUGAGAAAUCCUUUAAUAAGUUGAUUGUCAAGGGCUGCAGACUCGGUAGAAAACGGAGAGGAUCCCAAGCAGCCAGAGGAAAAGAAAAAGGACAGAACCGCAGGCUGGGAUCCAGCUAACGCCUAUUCCAGCACUGCCAGGAACAGGAACUCUUCCUCCUCCUGCAGCAGCAGCAGAUGUAUCUGCCAACCACAGCAACAUACCCCCACGUGCUCCUCCAGCUGUGGUGAGCAUUGCCUGGCCACCAGCCCCUGGCGUGUCCUGCUGCUCCCCCCAGGAUUUCAGCCACCCAUGUUCCAUCCAAUGGGACCAUUGCCUUCCUUUUGAGAGGACUCUAGGAUCAAUCCAUUGUGUUGGAUCCUGUGUUGGACUCCAGGAUCAAUCCAUCUGAGGACCCCCAGAGGAUGGGAGCUUGUUCUGGAAAUCACAGCAGCCCCUGUCAUAUUUUCACCACCCUGUGGUUCUAUGGAAGAAGCAUCACUUUAAAAUCUCAAUUAAUGAACAUUGGAGGAAAUAUUUUUUUCUUUCUUUGUGGUUCCCAGUGCACCUGAAUGUGGUCACAUAUGGGCAUGCUUUUUCAUAUGGAUUCAAAGGAUCAAUGGAGCUCAAAUAAGCUGUCAUUAAAACAUCUGUUUACUAUGACUGUAACAUGACUAAUAAAACCUACUGCCUGUUCCUCUCACCUCUAUGGGGGAUGAGUGGCUGAGUGAGUUAUAGAAUGUCCAAUGGAGUUAGCAGUCCAAUCAUAUAAUCAUUUUGUCUCUUUUUAUGACUGUGGAAAUAGACCUGAGGGGAAAAAAAAACCUUUUGAACAUGUUUG